rnacentral:rRNA from 1 species
CACGUAGGGGGCGAGCGUUGUCCGGAUUCAUUGGGCGUAAAGCGCGCGCAGGCGGCUCGGAAAGUCGGGUGUGAAAACUCGAGGCUCAACCUCAAGACGCCGGUGGAAACCGUAAAGCUAGAGUCCGGAAGAGGAGAGUGGAAUUCCUGGUGUAGCGGUGAAAUGCGCAGAUAUCAGGAAGAACACCCGUGGCGAAGGCGGCUCUCUGGGCCUGUCCUGACGCUCAGGCGCGAAAGCUAGGGGAGCAAACAGG